CAGAAACUCCAAGCGGCCGCGGCAGCGAGCGACUGCGCAGAGGGAUCGGAGCUCACAUUGCGCACUCCGCAGCCCCCGCUGCUCUGCACCGGCUUUG
rnacentral:ribozyme from 1 species